rnacentral:misc_RNA from 1 species
UGGUUCUGGCAUCGAUGAAGAACGCAGCGAAAUGCGAUAAGUAAUGUGAAUUGCAGAAUUCCGCGAAUCAUCGAAUCUUUGAACGCACAUUGCGCCCGUUAGUAUUCUAGCGGGCAUGCCUGUUCGAGCGUCAUUUCGACCUUCAGAGCCCCUGUGACUUCUGGUGUUGAGGCGCUACGGCCGCUGUCGCCGUAGGCCUUGAAAGACCGCUGGCGGACCCGGCCCGCGCCGAGCGUAGUACUACAUCCUCGCUCUGGUGUCGCGGCGACGCGUCUUGCCACUAAACCCGUCGGCUGUAGCGGACGCCCCAGCGCGCCCCGCGGCUGCACGCCUCCACGGUUGACCUCGGAUCAGGUAGGAAUACCCGCUGA